rnacentral:rRNA from 1 species
GAUGAACGCUGACAGAAUGCUUAACACAUGCAAGUCAACUUUAACUUCGGUUUGGGUGGCGGACGGGUGAGUAACGCGUAAAGAACUUGCCUCACAGAUAGGGACAACAUUUGGAAACGCAUGCUAAUACCUGAUAUUAUGAUUAUAUGGCAUCGUAUAAUUAUGAAAGCUAUAUGCGCUGUGAGAGAGCUUUGCGUCCCAUUAGCUAGUUGGAGAGGUAACGGCUCACCAAGGCGAUGAUGGGUAGCCGGCCUGAGAGGGUGAUCGGCCACAAGGGGACUGAGACACGGCCCAUAAUACUACGGGAGGCAGCAGUGGGGAAUAUUGGACAAGGGACCAAGAGUCUGAUCCAGCAAUUCUGUGUGGACGAAAAAGUUUUUCGGAAUGUAAAGUGCUUUCAGUUGGGAAGAAAAAAAUGACGGUACCAACAGAAGAAGUGACGGCUAAAUACGUG